rnacentral:rRNA from 1 species
UCCAGACUCCUACGGGAGGCAGCAGUGGGGAAUAUUGCACAAUGGGGGAAACCCUGAUGCAGCGACGCCGCGUGAGUGAAGAAGUAUUUCGGUAUGUAAAGCUCUAUCAGCAGGGAAGAAAAUGACGGUACCUGACUAAGAAGCCCCGGCUAACUACGUGCCAGCAGCCGCGGUAAUACGUAGGGGGCAAGCGUUAUCCGGAUUUACUGGGUGUAAAGGGAGCGUAGACGGCAUGGCAAGUCAGAUGUGAAAGCCCGGGGCUCAACCCCGGGACUGCAUUUGAAACUGUCAGGCUGGAGUGCAGGAGAGGUAAGUGGAAUUCCUAGUGUAGCGGUGAAAUGCGUAGAUAUCAGGAGGAACACCGGCGGCGAAGGCGGCCUGCUGGACCGUAACUGACGUUGAGGCUCGAAAGCGUGGGGAGCAAACAGGAUUAGAUACCCCAGUAAA